rnacentral:tRNA from 1 species
GCGGAUGUGGUGAAAUUGGUAUACACGCUAGCUUCAGGUGCUAGUGGGGUCAAACCCGUGGAGGUUCGAGUCCUCUCAUCCGCACCA